GCUGGGCUGGGCAGCACAUGCCUGUAAUCCCAGCAACUCAGGAGGCCUAGGCAGGAGGAUCACAAGUUAGAGGUCAGCCUUAGCAACUUAGUGAGAUCCUGUCUCAA
rnacentral:sRNA from 1 species